AAGACAGGUAUGGGAGUAUGAUAAGCCGCUGAUUCAAUUAACAUACAGCAGACGCAAGAAAACCAUAAGGGCAGAAAAGGAAAAACAAAUCAAAGAUACUCAACCAGCACAUGGGAGGCUCUAAGGUCGUUAGCAAAGUGGCUAUGAAAGGGGAUCUAUAAAAGAGAACCAGAGGAAAGAGAAAAGGCAUGCAUAAAUUGGGUGAGACGCAUAGGAGAGCACUGGACCUCUCAAAAGUCCAAACUACUCGUUCAUUAUUUCCAUUCCUUUACUGUUAAAUUCCUUUAAAGAGCAAUAGCACUUGUUACAGUUUUCCUUUACAUUUUAUUGUAUUUCAAUUUUCCGUCAGUGAAUAUAAAUCUUCUUUUUGUUCAUAUACUUGUGUUUGCCGAGUUUGCUGUGAGUUUUCAUCUGCACAACUAGUCACUAGUGUAGGAGUGUAUCAAGCGGUAUCAGAGCAUUCGCCUGGGGAUGACGUUGACUGAUCGUGUGGGGGUAUUAGAGGAAAAGGUAGACAACUACCAGAGAAGUAUGGAUGAGCAAAUGGAUUCGCUGCAGGUGGGAUUGGAUUCGAUAAAAACUGAAUUCCAUAAGGUACAAAGCAUAGAGAAAAACAUGGCACUAAUGAUGGAGCAAUUCCAAUUUGUCAUGAACCGUUGGGAAGAUCAGGAGAGGGGUCGGAAGAGGAAGGCACCAGAAGAAGGGUCCCCUUCGGAGAUGACCAUGAAUUCAACUAUCGCACCAACAGACGAAAUCGAAACUAAGGAAGGUUGUGGGGGACAAUGGCGCCUGGAAUACCGAAACAAACGGCUGGAAAUUCCUAUGUUCGAAGGGAAAAAUCCAGAGGGAUGGGUCUUCAAGGCGGAGAGGUAUUUCAGCCUGACCCAGAUCUCAGAAGUGGAGAAGUUAGAGGCGGCAGCCAUCUGUUUUGAAGGGGAAGCGUUAUCAUGGUAUCAAUGGCAACUGAGGAGAAGGAGG
rnacentral:lncRNA from 1 species